UUUGACAGGCUGACAGACUUGGGGUGGUUCAGCCUGGAAAAGAGAAGGCUCCGAGGAGACCUUAGAGUGACCCUCCAGUACCUAAGGGGGCUACAAGAAAGCUGGGGAGGAGCUUCUUACAAGGGGUCACCUUUCCAGGUUUCCCCACUGGGGAAUGGAAUAUUCACUGCUGGAAAAAGACAGGACAGUGGCCUUGGCUCUUGCUGGGCACCUGAAGACCUUGCACACAGCCACUGCGCUUGCUAAAAUCUCCUGUACUGAUCCGAGUACACUGAAUCUCAUGCUUCCGUCUGGCCCAACGUUCCACUGAACAACAAACUUUUACAUCACCAUAGUGGCCUUCCAGUACCUGAAGGGGCUCUAAGAAAGCUGGAGAGGGACAUUUUACAAAGGCAAGUAGUGAUGGGACAAUGGGGAAUGGCUAUAAACUGGAAGGGGGAAGAUUUAGAUUAGACGUUAGGAAGAAAUCCUUCGCUAUGAGAGUGGGGAGGCCCUGGCCCAGGUUGCCCAGAGCAGUAGUGGCUGCCCCAUCCCUGGAGGUCUUCAAGGCCAGGUUGGAUGGGGCUUGGAGCCCCUGAUGCAUAGAACCAUAAAACCAUAGAAUCACCAGGUCGGAAAGGACCCACUGGAUCAUCAAGUCCAAGCAUUCCUAACACCCCCUUAAACCAUGUUCCUAAGGACUUCAUCCACUCGUUCCUUAAACACCACCAGGGAAGGCGACUGGACCACCUCCCUGGGCAGCUGUUCCAGUGCCCGAUGAAUCUUUCUGUGAAGAAUUUUUUUCUGAUAUCCAGCCUGAACCUCCCCUGGCAGAGCUUCACGCCAUUCCCCCUUGUCCUGUCCUCUGUAACAUGGCAAGGGGUUGGAACUGGAUGGGCUUUGAGGUCCCUUCCAAUCCAAACCAUUCUAUGCUUCUGUGAUCACGCAUUAGUAGCCUGU